CCGACGUCAAGUCAAUUUUGACACGAAAAGCUGCUGGCGGCGUAGAAUGUCCAAAGAAUGGAAAAUUGGUGUAGGAUCGUUUUGGUAAGGUCGAGCGCGAAUCGGCAUACUAGUCAACAAAAAAACAUAGGAUUAAUAAAUAAUAUAUGUAUAUUCAAUUCAAUAUUCAUGGGAAAAGAUAUCUCGAUCCACAAGAACAAAAUGUCAAGCAUCAGGAAAGAUUGAAGAGAUUGGUUUAUUUUAACGAAGGGACAAUAGAACCACGACCUCUUGGAGGACCAAAUACAAGACAGGUAUUUUGAGAGUUGCUUGAGGGAAGAGAAAGAGAGGGAAAGAACAUACACAAUAGAUGUGACAAGGCUUUUACUUGGCCAAGGCGGUGUGAACUGUACAUCAAAUAAAAGGAAAUAUCGAUGGAAGAAAAUUAUAGCGAAAAUACUUUGUGUUAGGAGCCAGAUCCACGAUGCUGCAGAUUUUAAAGUAUUUGUAAUAAGUAUUUUUAUGUGAUAACUAAAUUAA